GCUGGAUGUGGAAGUUCACCCUUGUGAUCACAACUACUUGGGAGGCUGAGGCAGGAGGACUGCUUGAGCCCAGGAGUUCUAGGCUGUAGUACACUAUGCCCAUCAGGUGUCUGGACUAAGUCUGGCAUCAAUAAGGUGACCUCCUGGGAGUGAGGACCACAGGGUUGCUCAAGGAGGGUGAACUGGCCCAAGUUGGAAACAGCAAGUAAAAAUUUUCAUGUUGAUCAGUAGUGGGACUGCACCUGUGAGUAGCCACUGCACUCCAGCCGGGGCAACAUGGCGAGAACUCAUCUCUA
ensembl:misc_RNA Metazoa_SRP Metazoan signal recognition particle RNA